AUGGAAAAAAUAUUGAGUGGAGUUCUGAAUCAAAUAGGAUACGUGUCAAAACCAUAUGAAAACAAGCUCAAAAAAUGUUUAAGAGAGGAAGCCGUAAAAUGGGCAUGUAUUAUUGGUAACAAAAAAUGUAGAGAAGUAGCCAAUGAGCGAAUGACAAGAGAUCUACAUUCUGAAAGUGCGACCUCUGUAACGCAAUCGGAAUGGAAACGAUGGAUGUAUUGUAAUGGUUUGGUGUCAGCGGAAAAGUCCAUUUGGUACGCUGUAUGGUACAAAUGGACAGCAACACUUGAUGAUACAAAAAUUUUAGAAUAUUUAACUUGCAGUGAAGGUCCUUUAGUUGUUUCUAAUUAUAUACAGACAAUCCGACAUAAUUGCGACAAUAAUUGUCAUUAUUACGCACCAACAUGCUGUAAAGCAAUUGGUUAAGGUGCUUGAAUUUGCGAAAGUUAAUUUGAGAGAAGAGCGAUUAGUUGAUGCUGUUCAAAAAAAAUUAAAAAUCGAAGAGUCGAGUACGUAAGAAAAGUCGGAAACUUAGGACUCAUCGGUGUGCGUCGGUUUAAAUAAUAUUUAUUUAAUUUAAUUAUUCCUUCUUACACUGCAAAUUUUUGUUGGACCAGAUAUUUGUCUUUCUUGAUUUUCAAUAAAGAAGUUACAGAAAAUUGCUUUACAACUAGAAGUGCCUUAUAGUCGAUGAUGAGAACAGAAUUAGCUCCGAAAUACAAAAUAUAUCUGGGCAAGUGUAAUGUAACUUGCAAGAAAAUAAUUUUUGUCAAAAAUAAAAUAAUAUAAAAUAAAAUAUUUUCAAUGUUUGUAUGCUUACGUCAAAAAAUUUUAAAUAUCAGAAGUAAUGGGAGAGGUAAUAUAUUUAUAUUUACGUUGAAUUGUUUAUAUGGACGGUUUAAAAGCAAAGCUGUCAUACAUGAAUUAAAAGUUGAUUCUAUCAUAAUGAUAUCAUAUUACAA